rnacentral:rRNA from 1 species
AAUUGGAGGGCAAGUCUGGUGCCAGCAGCCGCGGUAAUUCCAGCUCCAAUAGCGUAUAUUAAAGUUGUUGCAGUUAAAAAGCUCGUAGUUGAAUUUCGGGAUCAGUACGCUGGUCGUGCCUCCGGUAUGUACUGGUGUCACUGAUUCCUCCCUUCUGAAGAACCAUCAUGCCAUUAAUUUGGUGUGGUGGGGAAUCAGGACUGUUACUUUGAAAAAAUUAGAGUGUUUAAAGCAGGCUAACGCUUGAAUACAUUAGCAUGGAAUAAUGAAAUAGGACGUUCGACCCUAUUUUGUUGGUUUCUAGGAUUGACGUAAUGAUUAAUAGGGAUAGUUGGGGGCAUUAGUAUUCAAUUGUUAGAGGUGAAAUUCUUGGAUUUAUUGAAGACUAACUACUGCGAAAGCAUUUGCCAAGGAUGUUUUCAUUAAUCAAGAACGAAAGUUAGGGGAUCGAAGACGAUCAGAUACCGUCGUAGUCUUAACCAUAAACUAUGCCGACUAGGGAUCGGAUGAUGUUAAUUUUUUAAUGACUCAUUCGGCGCCUUACGGGAAACCAAAGUGU